rnacentral:rRNA from 1 species
GACGAACGCUGGCGGCGUGCUUAACACAUGCAAGUCGAACGAUGACGACCGAGCUUGCUCGGUCUGAUUAGUGGCGAACGGGUGAGUAACACGUGAGCAACCUGCCCUUCACUCUGGGAUAACCUCGGGAAAUCGGGGCUAAUACCGGAUAUGAGCUCCUGUCGCAUGGCGGGUGUUGGAAAGUUUUUCGGUGAAGGAUGGGCUCGCGGCCUAUCAGUUUGUUGGUGAGGUAGUGGCUCACCAAGGCGAUGACGGGUAGCCGGCCUGAGAGGGCGACCGGCCACACUGGGACUGAGAGACGGCCCAGAAUCCUGCGGGAGGCAGCAGUGGGGAAUAUUACACAAUGGGCGAAAGCCUGAUGCAGCGACGCCGCGUGAGGGAUGACGGCCUUCGGGUUGUAAACCUCUUUCAGCAGGGAAGAAGCGAAAGUGACGGUACCUGCAGAAGAAGCGCCGGCUAACUACGUG